UACGUAGGGGGCAAGCGUUGUCCGGAUUUAUUGGGCGUAAAGAGCGUGUAGGCGGCUUGGUAGGUCCGCUGUGAAAACUCGAGGCUCAACCUCGAGAUGUCGGCGGAAACCACUUGGCUAGAGUCCGGAAGAGGAGAGUGGAAUUCCCGGUGUAGCGGUGAAAUGCGUAGAGAUCAUGAGGAAGACCAGUGGCGAAGGCGGGUCUCUGGACAGUUCCUGACACUGAGGCACGAAGGCCAGGGGAGCAAACGGG
rnacentral:rRNA from 1 species